rnacentral:rRNA from 1 species
CCUACGGGAGGCAGCAGUGGGGAAUCUUGCGCAAUGGGGGAAACCCUGACGCAGCGACGCCGCGUGGAGGAUGAAGGCCUUCGGGUUGUAAACUCCUUUUCUUAGGGAAAAUGAUGAUGGUACCUAAGGAAUAAGCCACGGCUAACUCUGUGCCAGCAGCCGCGGUAAGACAGAGGUGGCGAGCGUUGUUCGGAAUUACUGGGCUUAAAGGGCGAGUAGGCGGUGGAGCAAGUCUGAGGUGGAAUCCUAUGGCUUAACCAUAGAACUGCCUUGGAUACUGUUUCACUUGAGUCAGUGAGGGGAGGGCAGAAUUCCCGGUGUAGCGGUGAAAUUCAUAGAUAUUGGGAGGAACACCGGUAGCGAAGGCGGCUUUCUGGUCUGAUACUGACACUGAGACGCGAAAGCGUGGGGAGCAAACAGGAUUAGAUACCCUGGUAGUCCACGCCGUAAACUAUGGGAACUGGGUGUAGGGAGUGUUGACCCUUUCUGUGCCGAAGCUAACGCAUUAAGUUCCCCGCCUGGGGAGUACGGUCGCAAGGCUAAAACUCAAAGGAAUUGACGG